rnacentral:lncRNA from 1 species
GUUUUUAAAAACCUGAUAAUAACAUUGCUUAAACUUUUAUAUCAUAUGUGUGUAUAUAUGUGUAUAUAUGUGCAUAUAUGUACACAUAUAUGUAUGGUGUUGUUUUUUUUUUUGCAGGAAUAGAAUGGCACAAGUGAUUAAAGAAGUGUAGAGUAUUUCUCAAGUCUGAAAAGGGUGGGAACUCCAUCAUGAUUUCAUUUUCAACUCUACAGCAUCCCCUUCCUUGAAAUUUUUGUUUUUUUACUGUAGUCUCAGGCUUCUGAGUGUCCAGUGCCAUCAGGUUGCUCCCAACCCCCUAGUGUGCACUCAAUCCAGGUGUGUUCAAAUCUCCAAUGCUAAAAAAUUUACCUAUCACCUCUUCACCUUCAAUCAAAAUUACUACUUUCUCAGUGCAGAUUAUCAAAACUUGAUAUUAAGAUGAAAACAGUCUGAUAGAACUAAUUCCCAUUAAGG